rnacentral:rRNA from 1 species
AGCAGCCGCGGUAAAUUCCAGCUCCAAUAGCGUAUAUUAAAGUUGUUGCAGUUAAAAAGCUCGUAGUUGAAUUUCGGGGUUAGCAGGUCGGUCGUGCCAAUGGUAUGCACUGGCUCGCUGACUCCUCCUUCUUGUAGAACCGUAAUGCCAUUAAUUUGGUGUUGCGGGGAAACAGGACUGUUACUUUGAAAAAAUUAGAGUGUUUAAAGCAGGCUAGCGCCUGAAUACAUUAGCAUGGAAUAAUGAAAUAGGACGUUCGAACCUAUUUUGUUGGUUUCUAGGAUUGACGUAAUGAUUAAUAGGGAUAGUUGGGGGCAUUAGUAUUCAAUUGUCAGAGGUGAAAUUCUUGGAUUUAUUGAAGACUGACUACUGCGAAAGCAUUUGCCAAGGAUGUUUUCAU